UACGGAGGGUGCAAGCGUUAUCCGGAUUCACUGGGUUUAAAGGGUGCGUAGGUGGGCAAGUAAGUCAGUGGUGAAAUCUCCGGGCUUAACCCGGAAACUGCCAUUGAUACUAUUUGUCUUGAAUACUGUGGAGGUCAGCGGAACAUGUCAUGUAGCGGUGAAAUGCUUAGAUAUGACAUAGAACACCAAUUGCGAAGGCAGCUGGCUACACAAAUAUUGACACUGAGGCACGAAAGCGUGGGGAUCAAACAGG
rnacentral:rRNA from 1 species